rnacentral:misc_RNA from 1 species
AAAAAAUAAACAAUGCCAGCCUAAAGUCCUAGAACAGAGAGGCUCUUUUCCCGUCCCUUGAAGACGGUUUUGUUUUCCCCCCUCCAAACCUGCCAAUGAACAGCCCAAGGAAAGAUGUCAAAAUUUUCUUAUACAGCGUGUUUGUUAAUAUAUCUAAUGUUGCUAUAACUAUAAAAGAUGAAACAUAUUACAUUGGUUAUUUAAUUGUUGCUUUGUAUAUUUUGAUGCCAUUAUGUUAUCUGGUUUUCUAGGUUAGAGGAUAGAAGGGAGAUUAAGGUGGUUUG